UUUCCAAAAUUCUGAUUAUCAGUA
rnacentral:snRNA from 1 species